CGGUGCCGUGGCUCGGAGGCGCUUUGGAGGCGUUGAUGGCAUCGCUGGGUUCGGUUUGCAGCGGCUGUCCGCUAAGGGAUACGGUGUUCUUCCUGAGCGGCACGGUUCUCGGUGCCGGUAGGGAUGAUAAAGGGUACUCACAAAAUAUGUCUCCCUUAGUGUCCCACAGAAACAUUCUGGGUGAAAUCUGAAUUAAGUGCUAUGAGUCUUGAUAAAUUGGAGAAGUGCCCAAGAGAAAUUCAUCAUCCUGAGAUACAAAAGGUAGGAAGUGACUUUUUUUGGUUUGGUUCUUUUUCUUUAUUGUUUUCUGGAAAUAGAAGUAAUUAAGUAUAGAUACUACUGGUUUGUUUCUUCCAGUAGCUGAUAAUACUAAUACCAAUAAUAAUAAUAAUAAGAGUAAAGUAAUACUACUUCAACUGUCUUUAUUUAUCCAUUGGACUGGCCAUUUUAAAUCUAAACUUCUAAACACAAAUCAAACCAUCAUCCUUGUAGAAUCUUUAAUAGGAGUGGGCUAAAGAUCCUGGUUUUGUUGACAGGAUUUAUUGGUUCAUGAAGAGCAAGAGGUAAGUACAAGCCUAACUACCCUCUAGCUCACAGACCUGCCCGGUGAAUAGAGCUUUGUUUUUUUGAUGGGCUUGUGAUGACUUUGAGAUCAAUUGCUCAUUCAUUACAGUAAAAAAAAAAAAAAAUUGUUUUGAACAUGACAGCAAAAAUAACUUUAAGCACAACUUAAUAAUAAUAGAUCACCAAUUUUAGUUAAUAAUUUUAUGCUAUACUCUUGGGUGAGGGAAGACUCGGACACUCAAUAUGAGAUCAGCAAGCUAUGUUUAUUGCAGAGAGUAUCAGACACUUAUACAGCACAUAAUAAGCUUAUGAAUAUUCUGUAAGCCAAGCGAUCUAUUGGUUAAACUAUACCAUCAACUCUUCCUCAUUCCUUUGGGCCUACAUUCCCUAUUUCCCACGUCUCUCUGUCUACUUGUUAUCCUACCCAGCUAGGCCCAGGCACACGCUAUCUUGCAGGUGCAAAACUCAAAAAUACCUGUGUUCGGUACUUUCCCAGCUCCUGGUCGGCUAACGAGCGAAUGUCUGCGUGACCUCUGUCAUGGAGCCAUUUCUCCACACUAUACUAUCAAAGUUUAAAGGGAUCGGUGAAUUUUAACUUUGGAGUCCCCUAUGCUAAGGAUGCUCAGCUUACAGGUGAUGAAAUGUUCAGUAAUGUAUUUGCUGCAGCUCUGCUUACCCAAGCUUUGGGUUCCUUCUGUCCCACGGGGAGUUGCCCAGUUUGGUUGCAUCUGGUGAAAUUCACCCUGAGACCUUACAGAACCAGCUCCAACUACGUGAGAGCCAUUUGCAGUUCUCUCCAGACACCUGGAGAAUGGGCGACGUUUCUGAGGAUCCGGCGAGCGUGCUUCUAUCAAAACUCAGUCUGUGAAAUUCCUGGGGAAAACCCUUCUGUGUCCUGAAGGGUUCAAACUCUGGUGAGGAUCCAGUUAUCAGGUGCUCACCUGGAUGGUUCCAGCUCCCAAAGGGAAAGACUCUCGUAUCCUUGUCGUCGGGCUCGGUGCUGUCCAAGAAGAUACAGAGACUAAAAAAAUCAUAAGAAGCAAAAUAUGACUGCAGGGAAAAGAAGCUGGAGAGAACAGAAGAGCCCUGUUGUAUUAAUCAUCAUACAAGUGCAAAACAAAAAAUCAGACCCUGUCCCAAGCACUUAGAGCCCAGAACACGAUUUCCUCAGGCUGCCAUUUGUGUGCCAUCGGUACUCACCGUGGAAGGGAGCUGGGGAUUGUUGCAGCUGUUGGGAACAAACCGCUUCUCGUCACACAGCAAUGGAAUUGGGACGACGCCUCGGCCAGCCCCUCUCUGCCAUCGUCUCCUGAAUCUGCAGCAGAGCAGUUCCAGUCCAUCCGGGCACGUGUAAUGCAGUUCCUGAUGAUCUGAGCACACGGAGCAGCGCUCAGUUGCUGUGGGGGGCUCAGGGAAGGCAGAGUGUGUAUUGUCAUCUUCCUGAACCUACAGACGAAUCAAAGUGAGAAGCCACAGCGUGGAAAUCAGUCGCAUAUAUGCUAAAUAAAACUUGCAGAUUUUUUUAAGAAUUGUUGUUGCUUGUUCUUUGUUGUGCUUCAGUGCUUAGAAAACCUCCCUUUAAAAUCAGUUCAGUUCAUGAGUUGAACCU